AUUGAACGCUGGCGGCAGGCUUUACACAUGCAAGUCGAGCGGCUGCAGGGAGUUCGCUCUUGCGUCCAGUGGCGGACGGGUGAGUAAUGCAUAGGAACCUGCCCGGUAGUGGGGGAUAACGUCCGGAAACGGGCGCUAAUACCGCAUACGUCCUGAGGGUGAAAGUGGGGGACCUUCGGACCUCACGCUAUUCGAGGAGCCGAGGUCGGAUUAGCUAGUUGGUGGGGUAAAGGCUUACCAAGGCGACGAUCCGUAGCUGGUCUGAGAGGAUGAACAGUCACACGGGGAAUGAGACACGGACCAGAGUACUAUGGGAGGCAGCAGUGGGGAAUUUUGGACAAUGGGGGAAACUUUGAUAAAGACAUGCAGAGUGAGGGAAGAAGGUAUUAGGGUUGUAAACGGAUUUUGUUUGGGAAGAAAUCAUAUGGGCUAAUACCUUGGGGGGAUGACGGUACCGGAAGAAUAAGCACGGGCUAGCUACGUG
rnacentral:rRNA from 1 species